rnacentral:rRNA from 1 species
GACGAACGCUGGCGGCGUGCUUAACACAUGCAAGUCGAACGGAAAGGCCCUGCUUUUGUGGGGUGCUCGAGUGGCGAACGGGUGAGUAACACGUGAGUAACCUGCCCUUGUCUUUGGGAUAACUUCAGGAAACUGGGGCUAAUACCGGAUAUGAGCUCCUGCUGCAUGGGGGGGGUUGGAAAGUUUCGGCGGUGCGGUCUGGACUGGAGGGUUAUCAGCUUGUUGGUGUAGUAGGGGCGUACCAAGGCUUUGACGGGUAGCCGGCCUGGGAGGGUGACCGGGCACAUGGGGACUGAGAUACGGCGCAGAAGCCUACGGGAGGCAAUAGGGGGGAGUCUUGCAGAAUGAGGGGAAGCCUGAUGCAGCAACGCUGCGUGCGGGAUGCCGGCCUUCGAGUUGUAAACCGCUUUCGCCGGAGACGAAGCGUGAUUGACGGUAAUGGGUAAAGAAGCACCGGCUAACUACGUG